UUCCCCUUUUCCUUUCCAAAUGGCGGUUGGCUCCGCCCCCGUUGUCAUAGCAACCGGUUCUUCAAUGCUGGUAUUAACAGCUCUAAUACUCACCAUUUUAAAUUAACUAAACCUGACUGUUUAAACAAAUCAAAUAAACAUGUCAUCAUUAAACAAAAUAAAAUCAUACACUUCUUUACACCUUUGCUUUCUGAUGGUUCAGUAUUCAUACACUUUAUUUCAUGCACAAGAUGAUUAAAAUAUUGUGUAUAAAAUUAAUAUGUAUAUGCACACAUACAUUAUGUGUUUAGAUUAUGUGUCCAUGUCCAUGAUAUUUCAUUUUGCAAGUAUUCCAAAAUCCAAAAAAAAAACAAAAACCCCUCAAACACUUAUAGUCCCAAGCAUUUUGGAUAAAGAAUGCUUAGCCUGCUAAUUCAAAAUUAUAAUUAAAAUUUAAAAGCCCUUUGCAAUAAAAAGUAAUCAUCACCAAACAUAUUAAAGUGCCCUUGAGCAAACACCAUAACUUAAAAGAUUAUCUAAAUAAAAUAUCUGUCUGUCAGCAGAAAGACAGCAGGUAUAUAAAAAUGAUAUAAUUAAAAUCUGCAUUUGUGCUUGUUUGUUUUAUGUAUUUAGCACAAUCAUUUAUAUUAUUAUUUUUCAUCCUUUUAGGUAAGGCUCCAAGUUGGUCUGUAUGUUGUUUUUCUUCUGGACUGGCUGAACAGUUUUUAAUAAAGAUCAAAUACUAGUUCUUCGCUUGGAGGAUCAUGCAUCCAAUGUUAAGUUUACUAUGCACAUGGUGUUCCAGUUUCUUGAUUUAGGGGCCCUAACUGAAAAACAAGAGGCUCUCAUUACCAAGAGCCCUGCAUCGAACACUAGAAGGCCCGAGGAUCGAAAUCUAGGCCCGAUGUUACCUCUCACAAAGGAAAUUCUACGAGAUUUCUAUCAGCCUUUUAACACAAAACUGGCUCAAGUUCUUUCUGAUGACGCUUUUUUAUGGAAAAAACCAUAACCACAGUUUCAGUGCCAGAAAUACGAUGCUUAAAGAAAAUUUUAUUUUUUUAAAAUCCUGAUUUAAGGUGCAAUCAAUUACUAAUUCUGAGAUCAAGAGUUCUAUUGCAAUUAAAUCUUUCUCCUGAAGGUUAAUAUAUGUCAAAGAAACUAUAGAAGAACAUAAAGCAACAUGAUUGUCAAUCUCCUUUGCAACAACUUUUUCUGUCUCAGCAAAAGAACACUGUGUAGAUAUUGUUGUUAUGAAGCAAUCUUACAUCCUCUGGUUUAUGGUUUUGAAAUAUAAUUUGCAAGCUAUUACAGUACAGAAAUUAGCACUAGCCACCUAAGAUGCACAUCCAUUUUUGUUUUUAAGCUAUGUCUUGCAUUCAAAACAGCAUUUUAACCAUUAAAAUUUAAUUGAUUUUAAUUUAAAAGCCUGCUUUUUAUUGGAACCAAACACUUUAGUAUGCAAACUCUUCAGCCACAAUGAACCUAUUAAAUUUGCCUCAACUGUGUAGCUAGAAACAGAAGAGCAACAGGAAGUGAGUUAUUAAUGGAUUAUGUUUAAAUAGUCCCGAAGUAUAUCAUUCUUUUGUAAUUUUAGUGUAAAGAGUUUUUCUUUAUUAACAAUGCUUUUUCUCAAAUGUAAAAUUGAAGGGGAAGAUGAGACACCACAUAAAAGACUACCCAACUCAAUAACACUGUAGGAUAAAGAUAGGUUUUAUUAUAAUGAAGAAUGAAGGAAGAAGGAGGAAACUUAAAUUUGCUUUCAAGCCUAAAUAAUACAUCCAGUGUGCUUAUCUGUAUCCCACAUGGACAUGACUACAGAGAAUACUGGGAUUAGAUUGUGUGUGUGUACUGCAGAAAUAGCUAUUUAAUGUUCUAUUGAAUAGCCCAAAUGUGUAAUGCUAAUUUGUAUAGUGAAUAGUACAAUAUCUAGAAUUCAAAGAAAUAGUUGUGUUAAUCUGAAUCAAUAUGUAAAGGGAUCUUGUAGUACUUUAGAGAUUUUGGGUGCAUCUACACCAGUGGUUUUCAACCUGUGGGUCGUGGCCCAGCAGUGAGCCGUGAGAACAAAAAUCCGGUCUGUGAACCUCCUUCCUCUUUAUUUAUUUAUUUUAUUUUAUUAAUUCUAUUUCCACUUUUUUCCACAGAGCUGACCAUUGCAUCUCUAGAUUAUUAAAUAUGGUUUUCUGUGGGCAAGCAGAUAGCGACUACAGGAUGGCAUAUGUUUUGUAUCAGAAACUAGAGCUGAAGUGGUCUAUCCAUUUUUUUGCAUCAAUACCCUAAAUAGCCAAACCGAAUCUAAAGUUGACAAAAACUUAUUCAUAAC
rnacentral:lncRNA from 11 species